UACAGAGGUCUCAAGCGUUGUUCGGAUUCAUUGGGCGUAAAGGGUGCGUAGGCGGCGCGGUAAGUCGGGGGUGAAAUCCUGGAGCUCAACUCCAGAACUGCCUUCGAUACUGAGAGUCUUCGAGUUCGGGAGAGGUGAGUGGAACUGCGAGUGUAGAGGUGAAAUUCGUAGAUAUUCGCAAGAACACCAGUGGCGAAGGCGGCUCACUGGCCCGAUACUGACGCUGAGGAACGAAAGCGUGGGGAGCGAACAGG
rnacentral:rRNA from 1 species